rnacentral:rRNA from 1 species
UACGUAGGGUGCAAGCGUUGUCCGGAAUUACUGGGCGUAAAGCGCGCGUAGGCGGACCUGCAAGUCGGGGGUGAAAGCCCGAGGCUCAACCUCGGAACUGCCUUCGAUACUGCGGGUCUCGAGUCCGGGAGAGGUGAGUGGAAUUCCUAGUGUAGAGGUGAAAUUCGUAGAUAUUAGGAAGAACACCAGUGGCGAAGGCGGCUCACUGGCCCGGUACUGACGCUGAGGCGCGAAAGCGUGGGGAGCAAACAGG